rnacentral:rRNA from 1 species
AUUGAUCGCUGGCGGCAGGCCUAACACAUGCAAGUCGAGCGAGCGGCGGACGGGUGUGUAAUGUAUGGGGACUGCCCGAUAGAGGGGGAUAACUACUGGAAACGGUAGCUAAUACCGCAUACUCUCGUCUACCCCAUCUGGGUUUAUCCACUUGGUGCGGUAAUGGCUCACCAAGGCGACGAUCCCUAGCUGGUCUGAGAGGAUGAUCAGCCACACUGGAACUGAGGCUCGGCCCAGACUCCUACGGAGGCAGCAGUGGGGAAUAUUGCACAAUGGAGCAGGCCUGAUGCAGCCAUGCCGCGGGUAUGAAGAAGGCCCUAGGGUAGUAAAGUACUUUCAGUCGGGAGGCGUGACCGACAGAAGAAGCACCGGCUAACUCCGUGCCAGCAGCCGCGGUAAUAC